CUGUAAGACUGGGAUAACUUCGGGAAACCGAAGCUAAUACCGGAUAGGAUCUUCUCCUUCAUGGGAGAUGAUUGAAAGAUGGUUUCGGCUAUCACUUACAGAUGGGCCCGCGGUGCAUUAGCUAGUUGGUGAGGUAACGGCUCACCAAGGCAACGAUGCAUAGCCGACCUGAGAGGGUGAUCGGCCACACUGGGACUGAGACACGNNCCAGACUCNUACGGGAGGCAGCAGUAGGGAAUCUUCCGCAAUGGACGAAAGUCUGACGGAGCAACGCCGCGUGAGUGAUGAAGGCUUUCGGGUCGUAAAACUCUGUUGUUAGGGAAGAACAAGUACGAGAGUAACUGCUCGUACCUUGACGGUACCUAACCAGAAAGCCACGGCUAACUACGUGCCAGCAGCCGCGGUAAUACGUAGGUGGCAAGCGUUAUCCGGAAUUAUUGGGCGUAAAGCGCGCGCAGGCGGUUUCUUAAGUCUGAUGUGAAAGCCCACGGCUCAACCGUGGAG
rnacentral:rRNA from 1 species